AGGAUUCUUGGAUAAUAAGAGAUAAUACUUUUCAUAGUGUCUACUGUGUGACAGGCACUUUCCAAAUAUUAUCUUACUCAAUCUUCACAAUAACCAUUUUUGUUUUACAAAGCCUUAUUUACAUCUUAGAAUCAAUAUUUUGUAUUGGUUGCAAGGUAGAUGAGCAGUAAGGAUUAGGCAAUUGGGGUUAAGUGACUUGCCUAGGGUCACACAAAGUGUCUGGGCAAGCCUACAGACCAAUGAGGUAAUGAGGAAUCAGAUUCUGCCUCCUUCCUUCCUCUGUCUCCCUCCCACUUUCAGAUAAUCUCUUCAGUUGGUGUCAAGCUGGAAUUCAGUACUGAGAAUACAGUCACACCCUAUGCAGACCUCAGAGCCUUAGAAACAGAUAGAAGUCAAAGGCCAGAACAUGGAGGCAAAAGGUUGGUUAUCUGAGGGAAAGACUCAAAUGACUAUGGCUCCAAAUGUAGGACCAGAGCCAGGAUACCAGUCUACAAGAAAGAAAAAGAGAGUAAGUUUCAAGCAUUAUCAGCCAGAGGUUCAAAUCAUGAUUAAAAUGCAAUUGGGACAGAGCAGGUGAUUAAUAAGCAUCAAAGCAAUAAGUAAUCAGUGGAAAUAUUGGUGAAUAAGUAGUUCACAUAUGGGAAGUUCUUCAUUCUGUUUCAUUCCAGAAGUCCUGCAUCUUAGAUCCAGAGGCAUCUACUUCAAUCCCUGUAUUUUACAGGUCAGUAAACUGAGACCAAAGAGGGGAACUGUCUCAUCCAUGGUCACACACAUGGUGGAAGAACCAGUGACGGGAAUUUCUCUCAUUCUCACCAAUCUGGAAGAACUAGUUACUAAGAUGGAGAUGAUGAAUAUAAUCUCGACUUCCGGUCAAGAUGGUGGCAUAGAAGCAGCGAAAGUUCAGACCUCAGAAACCCUUCCUUACCGAUUGCAAACAGAGUGCUCCUAGGCCACCAAAAUUCAAGUUGAACAACAGGAUAGACCUGGGGAAACCUGCUCCGGGACCUGGAUCAAAAGGUACUGCACCCCAAAAGCCAGAACCCUAGAUCACUCGGAUCUAAGGGGUAGACAGAAAGAAGGUCCCAGGACCCAUCCCCCCCAACCCAGAGUGCUGAGCCCAGGGCAGAAGUGGGAACCUCAGGGCUCUGAGGACUCACCUUGAAAGCAACCUGAGCCAGUCUCCGGGGCGCCCAACACAGACGGCAGGGAAACAUAGAGAGAAGGGGG
rnacentral:lncRNA from 1 species